CUGAGAGUGUAUUGUCUGGCAGUGAGUAUCUUUAUGUGUUUGUGAGUGUAUAUAUUUGUGUAUGUGUAUCUGAAUGUGGGGUGGGGACUGUAACAGAGUGACUGAGUGUAAGGAGAGAGUAUAGGGGGUGGUUGAGUGUGACAAUGUGACUGUAUGUGUGUGGGGUGUGAGGUGACAGGGUAAAUGGGGGAAUAGUUUGUG